GUUACCUCUUAACAGGGAACAACCUUAUGAUAUCCCCAUACUGUAAUGGGAGAAAGUAGAGAACCGGUAACGUUAGCCUCUGGUAAUUUCGCCCGUUGGCUCAGAAUGAAGCUUUUUUAGCAGGCUUCUCCAUUUUAACUGUGUUGUUUAACCCGCUUGGCUCUCUGGAAAAGCAGGAUAGUAUUAAGUUCGGACGUCCCGAGGACACUAAACAGGUUUCGGUUGUUGUGCUUAAUGUUGUUGUAGAUCGAGUGUGGUUUAAAAGCAACCGUAUGAACGAGAGUCAGUUACUUAGCCGACAACAGAUCGCUAAGAAUCUCGAUACAACAAGUAGCAGUAACAGACGGUAGUUACAGACUUCUCAAAAUGGUGAGCACAUGUGCUUUUACUAAACACGCCGGCAGGAAAUGUUGCUUUCAAGCAAGCACCUCAACGUAUCAUGAAUGUGCAACAGAAUAACUGAGGUGGUUACCGUUCCCUGCCGAUAUAUGGACAAGCACAAGCAUCACAGGCUGGUUUGGUAUAGUACCAUUAUCCCUUGUUUUCAUAGACGAGGCUUAAGCCUAGUCCCAGACUAAAAUGUAAGUCUGAGCUGUUUUAACUGAAAGAAACUUGCACUGACUGAUCUUAAAAUAUAUCAGUGCCUUUGUUUUGUCUUGAAAUGCGCACCAGUAAUGUUUUCUCUAAGUUGCAAUUAUAAAAAUGACUUAAAUUUGAACUAUGGCCUAAUUCUGGCUUAGUCUAAGUCCCGUGUGUAACCAGGCC
ensembl:lncRNA